UCCGGUUUGUCACCGGCAGUCUCCUUUGAGUUCCCACCAUUACGUGCUGGCAACAAAGGACAAGGGUUGCGCUCGUUGCGGGACUUAACCCAACAUCUCACGACACGAGCUGACGACAGCCAUGCACCACCUGUAUACCGACCACAAGGGGGGCCGUAUCUCUACGGCUUUCCGGUAUAUGUCAAACCCAGGUAAGGUUCUUCGCGUUGCCUCGAAUUAAGCCACAUGCUCCGCCGCUUGUGCGGGUCCCCGUCAAUUCCUUUGAGUUUUAACCUUGCGGCCGUACUCCCCAGGCGGUCUACUUAGUGCGUUAGCUGCGCCACUAAGAGCUCAAGGCUCCCAACGGCUAGUAGACAUCGUUUACGGCGUGGACUAC
rnacentral:misc_RNA from 1 species